rnacentral:rRNA from 1 species
CUACGGGUCGCUGCAGUUAAGGAUUUUUUACAAUGCACGAAAGUGUGAUAAGGCGAGCCAGAGUGUUUUUCCUAAUGGAAAAACUUUUAUCUGUUGUAAAAAGACAGAUGAAUAAGGACUGGGAGAGACCGGUGCCAGCCGCCGCGGUAAUACCGGCGGUCCAAGUUGUAGCCACAUUUAUUUGGUCUAAAACAUUCGUAGCUUGUCUAGUAAGUUUUUUGUGAAAUCUUGUCUCUUAAGGAUGAGGCGUGCAAGAAAUACUGCUAAACUAGAGACUGGAAGAAGUAAGAAGUACAAUUGAGGUAGUGGUUAAAUAUGUUAAUCUUAAGUGGACUAACAAUAGCGAAGGCAUCUUACUAGUACAGAACUGACAGUGAGGAAUGAAGGCUAGGGUCGCAAAAUGGAUUAGAUACCCCCGUAGUC